UGUUUGGUGAACAACCUACCUGUGAAUCACUCCGUUUCUUAUAAAACAGAUGUUCCGGAAGCAGUGAUCAUCAAAGAACUGAUAUUUUGCUUUCAAGGCAUUGAAGGGCAAGUCAUCAAACAUGAUCCAUCCUCUGAAGGAUAUAUCAUCGAUCCUAAGGCUAAAGUCACUAAUGUAGUAGCAGUUUUACGCUUGAUGGAGCUCGGCUACCUGCACAAUGUAAUUAAAAAAUUUGUGGAAUCCUCGCAAGGGAAAUCAUCUAUUCAGCGAGGUCUAGUGAUGUCACUCCGUGAAGAAUUGAUGGAAUUUUAUAAACUUGUCUCAAGGCUUCACUCAGAGGUCACUCAAGAUGAAGAAAUUCUGGUGGCAGACACUCCAAUGAGUGAGGAGAACUUGCGCGUGGCGCGUACACCGCAUUUGGAAAGUCUGACUCUACGGAGGCUCCUUCUUCGAACAGAUGCGGCAUUCUUAAGGCUCAUGAUCCUUGUCGACCUCAUUGAGGAGUUGAAAAGUGUCAUGGUGGGAAAAUAAUCUCUGUCAUUCACAGAUUCUCACAUUAUGGAUACCCUGCGCUUACACCGGUUUUCUCCCGCCUUUUACAUACGGUAAGAGUUUGUGGUGUUGAGACGAUGUUAAACAUCAGAGCCUCUGCAAGGUUGAAUUUUCAAGGUAAAAGUUAAGGUACUCUGAGUAAAGGACUCUCUGAGCUAAAUAUUUGGAAAUAUAACAAAAAAAUAAAAUUUUGCCUGGGUAUUCAAAAUUAAAUAUGAAAAUCGAAGAUGGGACGUAUUAUAUCCCUCGGCAAUGUUAUAGUAAGCUCUCUGUGUUUUAAAGAUCAAAAAUUUGGCACACAUUUGAAAAAUGUGCCAUAUUUAGAAUCUUGGACUGUAAAAGGAAGUUUUCAUAAUCUUCCCACUUAUUCUUGCGUUUUCCUCAAAUUCAGGACUUACUUUGAUCCAAGGCACAAACAGUGCCUAAUCCUACAUUUUUUUCCUUCAUCCAGUUUUAAAUUAAUAUGAGUUCAACUUGUACUGAAAAAAAUACCUGGAUCCUCAGGAAUAUUUUAAAUGUUUUAUGUUUCAGGAGUUUCAUUUGACAGUUGACCUGUAUAUUCUUGUACAUACUUAUUAUCAAACUACUGUUCACGUUUUUUCAGACAACUCAUUCACUGCUUGUUUUGAUGAGCCAUUGGAUUGUCGAUGGUACCUUGUUCGAUCCGUUUGAUGAAUUUUUUGUAGCCCACAAUAAAUUAAGUCAGGGUGUUUCAUCUUGGGAUUCUCAAUUUAUCCUCAGGUUUGUAAUCAGGAUUUUUGCAUAAUUACAAGGCUUAGAGUAUUCAAAAAAUAUCCGGAGUUUCCAGUUCAGGAGGGCUUUCAACUCAUGAACAAAGUGCUCAACUCCAACUAUUUAUGGUGUCAACUGACGUUGCUUGUUUUUAUCUUGUUUUUCCCCCUCACUAGGAAACAAUAACUUUCUCAAAAAAGGAAAAAGGAUGAAACUAUCAUUCUUUUUAUAUUCCAGUGGCAGCACAUUCAAAGGGCAAGAAAGAGCGGCUGCCACCUCAAAGUCUCAGAAUGUUAACAAUUUUACCAGGAAGAAAACCGAAAAUAUUGUUCUAAUGGUGACUAAUUUUCAACGUUUGUCCUGCAGAGAUUUCCUAUAGUCGGAGGGGCCCUCCUCCCUAUCCCUCGGUCUCAUUUUUCCAAAUUUUGUCCCUCAAAGUUUCCACUCAUGCGUUGCCUCUGUUAUCCAUCACCUCUCGCAAAACAUAUAGUCUAAAU
rnacentral:lncRNA from 1 species